rnacentral:lncRNA from 1 species
AGAACUGAUAUGAUACAAUUGAAUUGAUUCCUUAACAUCUCAUAAUGGGGAAUCACGUGAAAGUUUUUACAAAAAAAUUCAAAGAAAACAAAUGAAACAAACAAUUACAUGAAAUAUAGUACGUUCAUGUGAAGCAACCAAAGUUUUAGAAAUCUAAAAAAUAAGCCUAGCCUCGAAUGCAUCACCAGAAUAACCUUUAGAUACUUGACGAGCCUUUGGAAUCCUUUUCACACCAAACUUGUUAUCAGUGUUCAAUGCCCCUCCUACAUUACCAGCCAACUUCAGCAUAAAGUUCAUAUAAGUAUUCUUGAUUUUUGUCACCAUCUUAUCAUCCAUCUUAGCUUUGGACUUGUUCUGAUCUUCCAAUCCCUACGUGGACUUCUCAUCCGUAUGAUCUGCAUCUUCUUCCGUCGGCCGGGGGUGGUUGUGCCGUAGUCGAGGCGCCGGUAGCCCCGUCGGCUCAAGUACCUUGUUAUUUACAUGGUUUGAAAUGCUUGAACUUGGUGGAGGACGUCUGGUGAAGGAAGAUGAUGUUUAUGAUCACUUUAUGCGAAUGAAUAGAGAUUAUUGCUUGGAUUAAUUAUGCUUGUGUUAUAUAUAAGAGAAAAAAAAAAUAAAGAAAUUAGGGUUAAAUAUGUUUUUGAUCCCUAUAAAUAUACCAACUUUUUGUUUUAGUCCCUUUAAAUUUUCCUUCAACUUUUAGUCCCUAUAAAAUUUUCAAACACUACUUUUGGUCCCUAUUUUUAAGUUAAUUUUAGUAUUUUUUUUUUUAAUGAAAUUAUGGAGAAAUGUGUAGAAUAUUGUAAAAAUCUUUCCAAAAAAAAUUUAGAAUUUUUUAACAAAACAUAAAUUUAAUAUGAAUUUUUAACCAUAAAAAAUAUAAAAAUUCAUAUUAAACUCAUAUUUUGUUAAAAAAUUUUAAUUUUUUUUGGGAGAGAUUCUUAUAAUAUUAUGAAUUUUUCUGCAAAAUUUUAUUAAAAAAUAUGAGUUUACUUUAAAGGAGGGAUAAAAAAUGAAGAUGGAAAAUUUUAGAGGGAUUAAAAGUUGAAGGAAAAUUUUAGAGGGAUUAAAACGAAAAGUUGGUAUAUAUAUUCAUAAGGAUGAAAAUCAUAUUUAACCAAAAAAAAUUAUAGCACGUUUAAUUUUCUCAAAACAAAGAAAUCGGAUACACAGCGUAAUUGUGCAUUAUAAAAAGAUAUAAUAGAUCCAGAAGUCCUAGCUCAACUGGUAAAAUGCCGAAAUUGUUAGGCCGGAUGCCAUGACCGGGGUUCGAACUCCGGUACCUCCACUUAUGUGUGUGAGUUUAUAAUGGCUUUGCCAUUUCGUCUAUCUACCAAAAAAAAAAAAAAGAUAUAAUAGUAUGUGUGAGUGAAACAAGUAUGACCAAGACCAACCGUCUUUUCUUCCUUCCUUCCUAGAAAUGGCGAGUGGGAAAGUUAUCUCGCUUUAAUGCUAUCAACAAAUGAGAAACAACAAAUGAAUUUGCAUGCUUUUCUUCUAGAUGCUUUGACUUUCAAUUUUUUUUAUAUUUAUCAUUUAAAUAAUGAAUUGAUUGAGUUUAAAAUUUACUAUGAGUAUAAAUGAGAGAAUUGAACGGGGGUGUUCAUGUGUUGGGUGGGUCUCCCUACUCAACCAAAAAAUUGGAUUGGAUUGAAUUGAGUGAUUAAUACAAAUCCAUUUUGAUUAGUUUAAGUGAGUCACAUUAGGUAAGUGAGUCAACAAAGUUGCAACUUGUUAAACCAACAUAAAUAUAAUCUUACUAUAAACGAAUCGAGAUUAAAUUGCAUAGACUAAUCUCUUGCGUCUUAUGUGACCCAACGACAACAAACUCUUCCUAAGAGUUUUAACGUUGCUGCAUGUCUAAGGUUGGAUUCGAACUUAUUAAGACCUUAGUUAAGUUAGAAGAGACUUGUGUCUUUUGGGUAAUUCAUGAAUCAUUUUCGUCAUUUAUACAUAAGUCUAAUUUUUUUUUCCCCGAAUAGUUUAGUAGUUAGAAAUUAAUCCCUUUAAUGAAUAAGUGAGAAUCUAAGUUUCAAACUCCAACCUCUACAUACCGCAACAUUCUUGUGAAUUGAAUUAUGCUUACGGAGACGCAUAAAACUAACUCUAUUGGUAACUAUUUGCCAAAAUUUUAUAUAUAUAUAUAUAUAUAUAUAUAUAUAUAUAGUGAAAAAGAAUGUGUGAGAGAACCAUAUUUUAGUGAAAAAGAAUGUGUGAGAGAAUCUAUUUACUACUCUAAUGUAAUUCUUAUUAACUUGUCGACUGUUACAAUUUUCUCUCAAAGCACAAUUUCUUUCUUGGAUUAUUUUUGUUAACUUUCUAGUUCUCAUGUGAAAAAGGAGUCUAGGUAAUUUAGAGUCAAGUUCAAAGGUAAUAAAGUCCGAUAAAAAAUUAUGUCACCCAAAAAUUGAAGUCACAAACUUUUGGUUACACAAUAGAACAUUUGAUAAAACUGAUUUUUUAUAGUAAACUAAAAUAUCUAAGGUCAAUAUAAUUAAAAUCAACAUGUCUUUUCUUAAUAAAAUGAUAGAUAUAAUAUAAAAGCAACUACCACUUUUUAAUCACGCUUCCAAGCAUAUGGUGAUAGUAUAGUAUUGAAACAUGAUAUAAACAUAUUUUAGUACAGUUGAAAAACAUUAGAAAGAGAGUAAUCCAUCAACCCAUUUUGGAACAUAGAUAUAUCAGUGCCGUACAAAGUGAAUAAAUAUUUUUUUUGCCAACUUUGACCAUUCCAAAAUUCCACAAUCUAGACGUUUACAUAAUUAGAGUUGACAAAAAAAAAAAAUACUCUACCCUCAAUUACAAAUGAUCUUUCAUCAUACAAAAAUGUAUUUUUCUCAGUUAAAUCAAUAAAUCAUCAUAUUUCAUUUGAUUUAAUGGUAAGAUUUAUUGAUUCAGUGAUGAAAACUAACUUAUACAUCGAACAAUAAAAAUAUAAAAAUAUGAUACAGUUGAAUUAAGUAAUUAACACAUCCUAAUAGGGAAAUGGGAAUCACGUGAAUUUUUUUACAAAAAUUCUAAGAAAACAAAGAAACAAACAAUUACAUAGAAUAUAGUUCAUGUGAAGCCACCAAGGUCUUAGAAAUCUCAAAUAUAAGCCUAGCCUCAAACGCAUCACCAGAAUAACCUUUAGACACUUGACGAGCCUUUGGAAUCCGUUUCAUACCAAACUUGUUAUCAGUGUUUAAGGCCCCUCCUACAUUACCAGCCAACUUCAACAUAAAGUUCAUAUACGUAUUCUUGACUUUUGUCAACAAUUUCAAUGGUGAUCUUAUCAUCCAUCUUAGCUUUGGGCUUGUUCUGAUCUUCCAAUCCCUACGUGGACUUCUCAUCCGAAUUACCUGCAUCUUCUUUCGUCGGCCGGUG